rnacentral:rRNA from 1 species
UACGGAGGGUGCAAGCGUUGUCCGGAUUUAUUGGGUUUAAAGGGUGCGUAGGUGGUCUCUUAAGUCUGGUUUGAAAGUCGGCGGCUUAACCGUUGGAUGUGGCUGGAAACUGGGGGACUUGAAUGCGAUGGCGGUAGCCGGAACGGGUCAUGUAGCGGUGAAAUGCAUAGAUAUGACCCAGAACACCGAUUGCGAAGGCAGGCUACUAGGUCGCUAUUGACACUGAGGCACGAGAGCAUGGGGAGCGAACAGG